GGUUGUGGCUCACUGGUAGAGUGCUCGCCUAGCAUGUGCAAGGCCCUGGGUUCGAUCCUCAGCACCA
rnacentral:tRNA from 1 species